UAUAUUUAAAAAGAAAAUAGGUAUUCUACUACUAUUCUUCGACGGAUAUUGAGUAUUUGUAAGGCCUUUUAUAGAAAAUAAAGUAUACCGAAUUAAAAUAAACGAUGAGGAAGUAUAUCUGAAGUUUUAUUAAAAGCGAAAAUAUUAAGGCAUUUAUAAGGAGUAAAAGUGUGGAAUAGGCAGUUUUUAGAUGCAAAGAUUAUUCCACAAUAGAGAGAAAUUAAGAGAAAAAUGAUCUA